AUACAUCAAAAGGGGUCUGAACAGCUGAUGACUAUUUCUGAUUUUGAAGUACAAGAACCAGGCUAGCUUUUUUUUUAAUUUCAAUAUAUUUCAUAUCUCUGUCAGUAGCAAUAUUAAACAACAAUAAGCUUCUUGUUUCAGUGUGCUAAGCAUAAACUGAUUCAAACUGAUAGCUGUUAAUAUUCAUAUAUUAAAAAAGGCAUCCACAUAACCUCUGAGCAAAUGCAUACAACUAUUUAAAAACUAGUGGCCAUAAAACAUCACAGAGAAACAAAAUUAUCAUAAAUAAUUAAUAAGAUAAGGAUGACAAUAAUGACAAUUACAAUGAUAAUGGUGGUAGUGGUGUUGAUGAUAAUGAUAGGAUUUAAAUAGCACAUUUUUCCCAAAUGAAGGUAAGCUUGAUGCACUUUACAAGAGACAGGGGAGCAGUAGGGAACAAGGCCAAGUGAUUGAGACAGACAUUACAUUCAAGCAGACAAUACAUACCUUCACAUGCACAGUUCACACUCCCAGGAACAUGAAGAAAUGCAGAGAUAGGAGAAUGGUGGAGAAAGGAAUAGUCAGGGUAGACCAAUUACCCUAGGUAUUUUGGAAAGAGGUAAGUCCAGACCAAAAAGCAAGGAGUGCCCCCACUUAGAAGAGACAAAACAGGACUCUGAAUACUGGGGCCAGAGAAAGAGAAUGAGUGAUGGUAAAACUUCUCCAGUCACAUACAGGAUAGUGGAAAAACUGGUGUGGACUGAGCAAGCUGUCUUGCUAGGCUGGUAUGGCCACAAAAGCUCAGACAUAUAGACUGAGCCAAGGCCAUGAACAACAUGAUAGCAAAGUAUGACAAUCUUUAAUUUAAUGCAAUCCCACACUGGCAGCCAAUGCAUAUCCUGUGGAAGUGGUAUGGUAUGAUCGGCCUUCUAUGUGUUGAAUACAAUGCAAGCAGCAUUGUUCUGAGUUCUCUGGAGCUUGUUAAGCAGGCAGCCAGGAAGAUCCACAAAUAGUUACAACAGUCAAGCCUGGACAAUACUAAUGCCAAUAUAAGCUGCUUGGUGGAAGCGACCAAGUGAUGUGUGAUGUGGCUAAUCCAUGCAGUUCAAGAAAGAGAGACUUGCAGACUGAGUUAACAUGAUUCUUGAAGGACAAUGGUGUGUUGAAAAUUACUCCAAGAUUCCUGACAGACUGGGAAAGAGUAAUGGUGGAUCAAAAGAACUGACAAUGGCAAGUGAAAAAGAAUGACACUGGACGAUACUGUGCUCCCUCUGAAAAAAUUCAUUCAUACAUUGACUUGUUCCACUGACAAAUGUUGAUGCUGGUUCACCAGUUCUAGUGCCAGGGGGAACAACUGGAUAGAUGCAGCAGUUGAUAAGACUCACCAGUAUGGCCUGUCUUGGGUGGUGAUGAGCAGGUCCAGGAUGGAAAAGCCAGUCCAAUCCUUUACAUUUGCAAGCCACUUAUUCUUCUGUUCACCUUAACAUCGACUCCCCUUAACCUUAAAGAAACUUUUCUGACAGGGUGUCAUACCAGGUCACAUGACCAAACAAGACCAGUUUGUGAUAUUUCAUUGUUGCAAGAAUGGGUUUCUGGUGUCUGGGCAGCCAUGCUCCACACAAAGUCAUUGUUUUUAUAUUCCCUGUAUGAGAUUUUCAGCAGCUUCUUCGGCACUUUUUCUCAAAUGUCAAGAUUUUCCUCUUUGUACCAGCAAACAAAGUCCACAUUUCACAGCCAUACAAAAGGAUAGGAAUUAUUAGGGACAUGAACAGCUUGUUCUAGGUAGCAAACCUGAUAGUGUUGCUACACCAAAUCCUGUCAUUCUAGGCCAUUGCUAUUAUUUAUUGUGAUUGUGAUAUUGAUAUCUGCUGCAAAAUGCCAUCUUUGGAAGUGGUGGCUCCCAAGUAUUUAAAGCUGUUAACCUCCUACAGCUGUACCCCAUUCUUGCCAGUCUCUGUUUUGCUAAUGCCAUUGACCAUCACUGUGAUCUUGGAUCAUUCUGUUUAAACUGAGGUCUUGCAGUUAAGGUCUUGCAGUUUGCUGCUGAUGUCUGCUGUCAGACUGAUGUCAUCUAUAAAGUGUGGACUGCAAAGGGGCCUCCCAGUGAUAACGGUCAUGAGGUAGUUCUCCAAUAAUAUUGAAUAAAUAAAUAAAAAAUGCUGAACAGUACUUUGCUGUCUAUAUGCAUGGAAGUGAGAGUGUAAACUUGGACAGCGGUGACACUAUAGGGACUGAAAGCGAUACAAAUGGAGAUCAGUGUGUCAGAGUACAACUGAUGAUGGCUCUAACCACAUUAACACAUAUGAAGAAGCAUAAGCUAUACUCCUACCCCCUGUACCAGAGCCUGCGACUCUUGACAGCUGCUGUCUCCCCACAGCCUUCACGUCGAUCUCUGCCUGUCUGACAAUGUCCCACAUGUAGUGUUCUAUCUCAAGGGUGAGUUUUAUCACCUUCAAGAAAUGGUCGUGUACAGAUAUUUGAUCAAUGAAUGUUCCUUCUUUCAGUUUUAUAAUUGGGCAGCACAUUUAUUACUGCCCCCUCCAUGGAGUUUGCUGAUGAGGCACAAGGUUGUUAUUGAUCUAGGCUUGACCUUUCUCUGGGUUUUUGCACUUUGUGGUUCCCAUAUCCUCUUCAAGUGGGACUGCAGACAAUAACUUUUAUCUUAAAGAGUUGCCCUGCUCAUAAAAAGAUGGAGACUGGGUACUGAUUGGUACUCUCAUUGUGCAAAAACUUCACCCAAACUUCGCCUUGUCAUCAUCAUGAUUUACUGCCUUUAUCUUUCUUAAGAUUACUCACAAGACAGUGGGAACCUUUGCUUGAGGCUCCAGUAGAGUGUAAAACAGUGUCACUUCAUUCUACCACAAAGAACUUACAUUCACAGAGCACCAGAGCACACACAGAUCCCUAAUGACCAGGUUCACUGCACACUGAGUGAGCACUAUUGCCUUUGCCAUCUGGAGGAGGUGAGAAAAAAUAUUCAAUCAGCAUCCCCCCACUCUGCUAUGCAGAAAUGAAAUGACCAGAUGGGAUAUAAAAUUGCAAAAAGACAAUAUUAGCACAGACUGCUGCUUGUCAACCGUCAAUAGCUUCCUAAAGAACACAGAACAACAGGCUGACCAACCACAGGAAGAGAUGUAGGAUUCUCUUCACAUUCCUGUCAAUGUUUAAGGAAAUUUUUUAAUUAACUGACAAGAAUCUGAAUGCGCACUCACAUUCAUCACCUACUGAUCUGGAACAUAAGAUCUAGCUAAAUCACAUCAACCCUCUUGAUCUGGUCAACAACCAUUGGUUCAUCUGUUGUCAUUUAACUGCUGGUUCUUGCAUACAAUACUUGAAUACUAUAACAAUGUGUGGAGACUUGCACUUUCUUUCACAAGUACAUGAGCAAUUGCAACACACACAAACACUUGUAUGUUUUUUUUU
rnacentral:lncRNA from 1 species